rnacentral:lncRNA from 1 species
AGAAACCAAAUUGGCUGGCGCCUUGAUCAUGGACUCCUGGGCUCCGGAACUGUAAGAAAAUUUGUGUUGUGGAAGCCACCCAGCCCAUGGUAUUUCGUUAUGGCAGCCUGAGCAGAGGUGGUAGCUAUGUGGACAGUUUUUGGACUUCUCUAUUGUAACACAGGAGGCAACACAGAUUCUUCAAGUCUCACAGCUACUCCCUAGGGAUCACUGGGGAACUUGGAAAAAAUCUAUUGGCUCAGCUAGUGAGCGAUCACUUCCUGUACCACUGUUCUGAGGGCGGACUUCCAGCUCAGGAUCAUGCGAGGGCAUUUUGUUGCCCUUCAUCACUCAGCAGUGAAGAAUGAAAAUCAACAGAGCUUUCCCCAGCCUGCUGCUUAAGCAGCUGCUAGCAGGCUGAGGCUGCCCAGCCUCAUUAACCCAUUAGAUGCUGCGUUCGCCCGGGAGUCAUUCUUAAUGAGGCUGCUGCAGAUGAGAAAACAGAAGCAAAGGCAGAAAGAUGCUACAUUGCCAGCUUUGAAGAUGGAGGGAAGAGGUCACAAACCAAGGAAGGUGAGUGGUGCCUAGAAGUUGGAAAAGACAUGGAAACACAUUCUUCUGUAAAGCACUUAGAAAGAAAUACAGUCUUCCAAAAUGUUGAUCUUAGCCAGGCAAUGAGGACGUUGCACAAGACAGUCCCUGAUACCCAGAGUUUACUGCCUAAGAGAGGAUACAUCCUUCAAACCAAUAAUCUGCUAAUAGCAAGAUCCAAUAGCUUCAUGGAUAUUGAAAGAAACUGAGAAUCAAAUUUGCAUACUUCUGAGUCACUUGGAAACAAAAAACAAGUACAGUCUUAGAUUCUGAGGGAACAAAAAUUAAAAAUCACAUUAGGAAGAGAAUUCCUAAUGUAGGAACUCAUCCUGGAAGAUUCUUCAGCAAAAGUACAGACAAUAAUAAUAAUACUCCAUGAAGUUACCAUCGAUAUUGAAUGAAUUAAUGAAUGUAAAAACCUCAAAACCCUGCCUGGCCCAGAGCUUUGGAAUGGGUUUGGAUCUACCACUCAACUGCUUUAUGACUUCAGACCAGUUAUUUAAAUUCCCUGAAGCUCAGUUUCCACAUCUUUGAGUUUUUAUUAAUGACCUGCCGACAUCAUACAGUUCAUGAAAUGCUCUGGAUGUGUACAUGCUGAUGAUACGACCUCAGACCCAGCAAGAGCUCAGUGCAGCCCGGAGAGCUGUGAGCAGUGCCACAGGAGGAGAUGACUGGUGAGUGAAAUAAGCAAGAUAGGAGUUGAAGUGUACAUGAAGCAGAGUCCAAGCCUUCUCCUUCUGGAUGUUCAGCUGGAUCAUCCUGACUGCUCCCACUUUCAUCUUGGCUUUCAAAGGCAAGAGGAAAUUAUAAGGAAUAUUCUGAGUGGCUUUCAUCCAGGAGUUCUGUGGGACCCGCAACACCUGGAUGGUAGAUGCAAACAGAUAAAGAAUAUUGGUCACCAAAAGGAGUUCUUUUCAUCAUAGAUCUCUGAAGGUAGACACCUAUUUGCAGACUUCUCAAAGGGCUAUAUGGAUGUGCUCUACUUGUUGGAGGAUUGUCCAUCCACUCUUCUUCCUGUACUUACCAGGACAGAACAGCCGCAACUUCUCAGACAGUUCAUUCUUCUUUUCCUCACCUACUACCAUCUAAGAAAGGUACUUGAUGACUGUGGCUUUAGACAAGAGUCCUUUUCUUACCACAGGGUGGGCAGCACCAGCUCAUUAGAACCAUUUGUGUGACUGACUGAAGACAGCUCACCUUGGAACACUGCAGGUUGAAGAUCAUCUCUUCUUUUUUUCAUGGUGUUAAGCAUGGACCGAUGUUGUGACUCUCUUUCACCAACAGAAUAUGGCGUAAGUGACAUUUUACAAGUUCCAGAGCCUGGGACUCAAGAUGUCUUGGAGAUUCUGUCUUUGCAGUCUUAUAAUGAUGCCCUGAGAUCAUCAUUAAAGAAAGCCAGUCUGGCCUACUGAGGAUGAGAAGCUACAUAAAGGAGAAUGAAGAUUCCCCAGCCAACAGGCAAUAUCAGUGGUCAGAUAUGUGAAUAAAGCCAUGUUGAACCUCUCGGCUAGACGACCCUCCAGCAUAUGAAACCAGCAGAUGAAUAUCCCAGCCUGCCUGAAGAACUGUACAGGAAAUAAGAAAUCAUUGUUUUUUAAGCCACUGGGUUGGUGGGUGGUUUGUUACAUUGAAAUUGUUAACUAAAACAGAAAUUGGUGCAUAGAGGUCAGGUGCUGUCAUAAUAAAAAUCUAAAACAUAUACUGUUGGCUUUGGUGAUGGGAGUGAUUGGUAGCUAAAGAGGCAGUGAAACAAUGAUUAGUAGAUACUGGGAAGUUAAUAAGGAAAUUUCUAUUGGAGGGUGGAGAAAGGGCCACCCUUGUUAUAUAGUGGCCAAAGAAUCAGCAAAAUGUUGCCUGCUGCAACCUGGAAAGUAGAAACUUUUCUUAAACUCACGGAUCUGGCUGGGAGAUUUCCAGGAUGCAUGCAACAAAUGUGAAUCAACUUUGUAUAGCUGUGUAUAAUAAAGUGUGCUGUAUUUGUCCAUUCUGAUGCUGCUAAUAAAGACAUACCUGAGACUGAAU